rnacentral:lncRNA from 10 species
CCGGUACCUCAGUUGGAAAUGCAGAAAUCACCAGUCUUCGGCAUUGUUCACGCUGGGAGCUGCAGACUGGAGCUGUUCUUAUUCAGGGCCGAGUCUUUAUUCCCUGUCAAGCAGUCUUUGUAUAUAGGAUUUCCCAGGAAAAGGAUGCGACUUUAGGUUUGUACAGAUGGAGAAGUCUGCCAAUUUCAAGUGAUGGUGAAGAUUUGGGGCAAGGAAAUAUUCAUACUUUGCUGGUGGGAGUGUAAAUUGGAGCCACCACUUUGGAAAGCAAUUUGGUAAUAUAAAAUAAAAUUUAAAAUAAG